rnacentral:lncRNA from 1 species
AAAUUCAUUCCCUUCGAACUUGGUAUUGUACACAAAUAAAUCCUUUACCCAUGAUUAUAAUUGCUAUCAUACUUCUUUCACUAAUGCGUCUUGGGAAGUGAAAGUUCCUUCUAAAGUGUAAGUUUUUGCUUGAACUUUUGUUCUUAACAGGCUCAACACUGAUGAUAUUGCAAAUUUGUUGGUCUAAUCGUGCUCUUUCACCAAAUAUCUAUUUAAGUAUCUAAGGAAGGGGGGAACCCAUACUCAUCUUUUCCUUUAGGAUGAUGUGGCUUGGAAUUUGUGGACUAAGCUGUUUAAUACUUUUGGGUUGAUGUGGGCUGUUCCUUCAUCACUGGAAUGCUUCAUGAGUUUGAAUUUGUUUGGAAAGAGGGUGAGAAAGAAAGCUAAAAUACUACAAAGUGCACAUUGUUUGCAGGCUUGUGAACUCUAGGGCUGGAAUGGAACCACAGGAUCUUCAAAGGCCGUACCUUUCCUUCCAAAUUAUGUAAGAAUU